CCAGAGAUCGAACCUGCAUCUUUAUGGAUACCAGUCUGAUUCACUUCUGCUGUACCACAAUGGGAACGCCCAAGGUUACCAGGUUAAGUGAAAGAUCCUAAGCUGGGAAUUUGCAUAGAUGAGCAGGGUGUAGAGAGGUAAGUAGAGAAGAGACAGCCUAGAGGCACACCGUGGGUAAGAGACACACGUGGUGUCUGUCUCAAUUUUAACAGCCUCUUAGGUUUCUGAGUCUUUCAGGAUUGGACUGUCUGCAUGAGGUGACCAGCCCAGCCCCACAUUUCCUUGCUCCUGACUCUUUUUCUCUGACCUAAGUCCCUGGCCCUCAAGACCUUUCUAGGUCAUCUCUUGGCAGAAGCAUCCAUUUUUUUUUUCUUUUUCUGUAAUGCAGAUAUGGGUCCUUAAGACUACAGACCAACUUCAAACCUGGUGAACUCAGAUGCGAAGAAAUACUUCUAUUUGAAAUUCAAGAGUCGAGUUAAUUUCUGCCCUAGAAGUAUUAUCCCCUCUCUGCAAAAUCCUCCUCUUCUCUGGGUUGCCCCAACACAGGCUAUCUUCUACUUCUCCAGGGGACAACCCCACUGGGUGAUGAGCCUGGUGCUCUAUUCCCAAGUGAGCCAUGGAGAAGCCUGUAGGACAUGCAAGAAAGACAAUAUAAUUUUGUACAAUGUUAUUACAAAAAGCAACCAUUGAAGGUGGCUUUCAUCUGAAGGCAGUACUACUUCCAAUGGUUAGAGAACAAAAUAUUCAUGUAGUUGCUUAUUUGGAAUGCUUUAUUUUAGUUCUAUGAAUUAAUGAGGUUUUAUUUAUUGUCUUUCCCUCUAUAUACAUAACUCACUACGAUAUGCUGACGAGCUUUUUCUGCUCAUCACACUUCAAGCUCAACCCAUCCCACCCCCGCCUGGUGUUGGACUCACACCCAUUUUCCUGUUGAUGGAAACGUAUACAUUGGCUCCCCUGCCAUGAGCAGUCACCACCCACUGCUCACUGCUGGCAUUCUUCAGGAUCAAGUGACAUGGCCUGGCUGUGUGUGGGGAGAAAUGCUGGAAAAUUCCUUUGAUGUUGAGCCUUGUGACACUCAAUGACUUAAUCCAAGCUUUUGCUAUUCGACCAAAUGCCAAAUGUGCUAGUUCCUUAAUAUCUAUGAUCUUACAGAUGGCAGGAUGGAAAAAGAAGAGUAAACUACAGGAAAAAAAUAUUUCAAAACUAUUUUGCAGGAGUAAUUAAGUUAAAGCUUGGGUUCAUUGAUUGAGCAGAGUUCUAGUUAUCUCAGAGCUACUGUAUAAUACUUUAAAAUUUUCAUUUAAUAUAUAGUGUGUCGAUAAUGUCUAAGGUGUUAGGAAUGCAAAGAGGGGCAAAAGUUCAUGUAGUGCUUUUAUCCAAAGCAUCUUCUGGUUUCCUUUUACCCAUUAUUGUUGGACGUUUCAUUUUAUUUUCUUUCAGUCUUUGUCAAUGCUUAUGUUUCUUGGUAUAAAGAUGUGAUCAUAUCAAA